UUUCCCGGACUUGAUUCUCAGGGAUUUGGAGACAUGGUACAGUACUUUCUGAACAGUGUUCCUUGCCAAGGAAUCUCCUUUCCCUGCUGGUUUGACAAUAAAUGGAUUGGUGAACCUUUAGAAGAAAAGGACAAGCUGGUCCUAAAAUUCAUAUGAGUUGCAAGAGACUACAAAAUAGCCAAAACAUCUUGAACAAAAGUUGGAGGACUCACACCUUGAUUGUAAAGCUUACCAUAAAGCUACAAUAAUCAAACCACAGCAGUACUGACAUAAGGAUAGGCGUAUAUAGAUCAAUGAAAUUGCAUGGAGAAUCUAGAAAUAUAUGAUACAUUUGCGGUCAGUUAAUUUUUGACAAGGGUGCUGUGAUGUUUCAACUUGACUAGGCUAUGAAGCCCAGUUGUUUGGUCAAACCCUAGUCUAGAUGUUGCUGGGAAGGUAUUGUGGAUGUGAGUAACAUUUAUAAUAGUUGAUCUAAGUAAAGCAGAUUACCCUCAA